rnacentral:tRNA from 1 species
GGGCCGUUAGCUCAGUCGGUAGAGCAUCUGACUUUUAAUCAGGUGGUCGCGCGUUCGAAUCGCGCACGGCCCACCA